GGCGGGGUUGAUCGGAAGCACGGGCAUUGCGUAUAGAAGCAGAAAAUGCAGUCGCAGGAAUACCCAUGUCUCCGGCGAGAUUCUAAUCGCCGGCGCGGCGAAACAGAGAAGGAAAUUGAGGAAAGAGGAAGAGGGGGAGAAAUAAAAGAACUUUCUUGUGCUGGGGGUAGGCGAUUAGGUGUUUUUUGGGUAGAGAGUGGAGACUGG
rnacentral:misc_RNA from 1 species